CGCACAUUGCGCCCCUUGGUAUUCCAUGGGGCAUGCCUGUUCGAGCGUCAUUUGUACCCUCAAGCUCUGCUUGGUGUUGGGUGUUUGUCCACUGUUGUGGAUUCGCCUUAAAGUCAUUGGCAGCCAGUGUUUAGGUAUUGAAGCGCAGCACAUUUUGCGCCUCUAGCCUAGAACGCUCGCGUCCAGUAAGCCUUUUUCCACUUUUGACCUCGGAUCAGGUAGGGAUACCCGCUGAACUUAA
rnacentral:misc_RNA from 1 species